GGUUAACGCUGGCGGCGUGCUUAACACAUGCAAGUCGAACGAGGGCCUUUCUCCCGCAAGGGAGGGGGGUUCCUAGUGGCGAACGGGUGAGUAACACGUGGGCAACCUGUCCUUUCGUGGGGGAUAACACCGGGAAACCGGUGCUAAUACCGCGUACGGUCGCCGAAGGCAUCUUCGGUGAAGAAAGCAGCAAUGCGCGAAAGGGUGGGCCCGCGGCCUAUCAGCUGGUCGGUGGGGUAACGGCCUACCGAGGCUUUGACGGGUAGCUGGUCUGAGA
rnacentral:rRNA from 1 species